UACAGAGGGGGCAAGCGUUUAUUCGGAAUUAUUGGGCGUAAAGGGCGCGUAGGCGGCCUGACAAGUGGAAGGUGAAAUCCCUCGGCUUAACCGAGGAACUGCCCUCCAAACUGUUUGGCUUGAGACCGGGAGAGGUGAGUGGAAUUCCCAGUGUAGCGGUGAAAUGCGUAGAUAUUGGGAGGAACACCAGUGGCGAAGGCGGCUCACUGGACGGUACUGACGCUGAGGUGCGAAAGCGUGGGGAGCAAACAGGG
rnacentral:rRNA from 1 species